UUGGGCCUGGCUAGAACAGGGGGUCAGGGCCCCCCACCCAGGAAAACCAACGGAGCCCUGAGACUUUUUUUUUUUUUUCUUGAAUUGGUUGGUUGCUUUGGGUGUGCGUUUCAGAAGGUCCUUCCUUUGUUUGCUUCCUUCUGUCUCCUUGGUGCCGUGGGCCCCGAGAUUUGUAGAGUGUGCUGGUUUGUCUGGUGGGAGCAGUGGCACCGAGCGUGUCCACGGGACGAGCCCUGGGUCUCUCUCCUGUCCUCAGGACUGGAGUUCACACGAAGUCUGUGGCAUUGGGAAACCGGGUGCACAGGGACGGAUUUCCUUGUGGCUGGUGAAGACAAUGUCCUUCCCCUGGGGAAAUCAGCCCACGGGUUCUGGAGCGGAGGUCUUCGCUGGGGUCUGUGGGACCCGCUGUCCCUGCCCGCCCCUUCCCCCGGCUUGGACGGUUGCCGCGUCGCUGGAUGAAUGAAUAGAAUUGCCUGGGAGUCCGGGGAGCGUGAAGACACCUGGGACCUCAGGGAACCCGCGCCUGCGCCCUCGGGGUCGUUCCCGUCCCGCCCGGGUUGGAGCCGGGCUCCUGGUGGGGCUGCCGCGAGUCGGAAAAGGAUUUGUCCAAGGUGCCUUAUUUAUUUCCCUUGGUGAAGUCAUGUUUUCCUGGAUGGUGUUGAUGCUAGUAGAUGUUCUUCAGUGUCUGGACAUUAAAAUCUUGGGCAUGCAGCACCAUAUCAGAGGUUUAAAAAAUAAAAUUUAAAGAGAGAAAAGACCUUCUUGUCAAGUCUUCAGUGAAAAGGAAUUGCUGAUUGAGCAAGAAUUAAACUUCUAGACUCCUGGAUCCACUGAAGUUUGAGACAAGCUCUAGUCAGGAAGUGCUAGAAAGUUCUAAACAGGAAAUGUUCCAACACACCAUCCAAGUAUGAAGCAGGAGACACCCAUAAUUGAGUUUGCUGCCACCAACCCCAACAGCAAGAAUUCCAGUCCUGCUGCUGCAAAUUGCGGUUGGUUGGCUGCUGCUGAACUCACCUGAAAGCUCCACUAGACUAAAGAGCCUAGACGGGUCACUCAUGUGGCUGGCAGUGCAUAUUGGCUGCUGAGUGUGAUGCCUAUCUGACCUCUCCGUGUUAUCCGGAGUGCUCACAACGUGGUAGUUGGUCCCAAGACACACAGGCGAAUACUACAAAGCUUCUUAGGACCUAGCCUUGGAGGCCCUAGAAUACAAAUUCUGCUCCAUCCUAUUGGUAAAGCAAGUCAUUGUGACCAGCACAAAUUCAAGAAAUGGGAGAUUCGACUCCAGCUGUUAAUGUAAAGAGCAGCAUGUGCAUGCAGGGAGGAAAGAAACUGAGGGCAUCAUCUUGAAAACUAUCACAUCACAUUAUUAUUCCAACUAAUGAACAUUAUGUUUUAGAUGGGUGGUACUAGCUACUCAUCUCUCCCCCAGAAACCCAAGCUAAGCAUGGACAUAUUGAACAGAAUGUCAGCACCAUUAAAAAAACUCUAGAAAAAUCACAUGUGAUGACUGAGGUUAAUUCAGUCUGUCAAUUACAUCAAUAUAAUUCCCUUCUUGUAACCCUAAGUAAGGUGAAGCAGAAUUGAAUUCUACAAAAGUCUUUCAUCUGUUUUCCUAUGGAAUAAUUAACAAACCCAAUAAAUGUAUAAAUAUUAUGAACUCCAAUUUAUUUUAUAUUUUUACCUCUUAAUUUCAAAGCUUAUAGAAAUCCAGAGAACUAAUCAUCGUAAUCCGUAAUGCCUGGACCAGAAGUCCUUGUUCUAAGAGUAUCUUGUGGCAAGCUAAAAAUUUAUUACUAACUAGGAAAUUUAAAACUUUUUUGUUAGUGAUUUUAAGAGAGCUGACUAGCUCAUCACCAUAAUUCACACAGAUUAAGAAUGGAGAUUACUCUGCUGAGUGGAUUCAUAGUGAUCAGAAAAAAAAAUUACAAAAGAGGAAAGGAGAUAGAGAAGGGGAAACAUACUAUCAAUGCCUACAAUUAAAGUGAUUUUUCGAAUGGUUUGAUUUUGUAUUUGCAAAGGAAAGGCAGCUUAUUGUGAUAGAAUAAGAAUCCCACAAUGGUUGAACUAGUUUACAGUCCUACCAACAGUGUAAAAGUGUUCCUAUUUCUCCACAUCCUCUCCAGCACCUGUUGUUUCCUGACUUUUUAAUGAUUGCCAUUCUAACUGGUGUGAGAUGGUAUCUCAUUGUGGUUUUGAUUUGCAUUUCUCUGAUGUGCACAUGUACCCUAAAACUUAAAGUAUAAUAAUAAUAAUAAAAAAAAAGAAUCCCACUUCAAUUUUUUUUUUUUUUUUGAGACGG